AGUCUCAUAGUCUUCUAUGAGCCUGCUAUACAGGCACUUGAGAAGAGCACAGAGUUCUGUUGUAGGCUCUUCCUGGGAUUCUGGAAGACUCUCCUGAUCCAUGUCAGUGGGGAAUCUGGGGCCACUCAUGAAUCUUCUGUAGGGCCAAGCUAAUCCUGGUACACUUAAGAGAGUUACAGGAUCUGAAAGCCAUUUAAUAUAAAGAAAUGUUGAAAAAAACCUAAGGAUAUUUAACCCAGAGAAGAGAACUCUUGUUGGAAAAUGACUGGGGCAGUUCCAGGCUUUACAUGGCAUUCAUGAAAUCUAGAGGAAGAAAGAACAUGACCUCCAGUGCCUUAAAAAAGAACAAAGAGACUUAUUUUCUAGGAGCCUCCAGCAAACCCCCUGUGUGAGUCAGGAUCUUCCAAGAGCUGACAUCAAGAAUCCCCUCCACCGUAGCAUCAGGAAAAAGGAUGUUGGUUGCCCUAGUUGCUUCGGGCAGUCAUUUUGAGAUCAUGAGUGACCCUGGCAUGAAGACAAGGCUGGCACAUAGAAGGAGGUGAAGUCUGGAGAGUAAGAGGAUCCAGAGUGGGAGCCCUAUUUGUACUGCCCACAGCUUGAUCUGCCUCUAGUUCUCUUAUUCUACAAGAGAGUACAUUUCUUCAACGUUUAAGCCAGCUAGAGGCAGCUUUUCUGUAACUUGCAGCCAAAACCAUCUAAAUUGCUACCAAUAGUAGAGUUGGUUCCUUUUCUAGGAUUUAUUUCCCUCUUUUCAUGACAAAGGAAAUAAGUCCCACCAUUUUGCCUCGUGUUUUAAAUGGGAGAGACGAUCUCUUAGUUCC